GGGGGCGUUUUGGGGAAAAUUUUGGGAGUUUUGGGGGGUUUUUUUUGGGGUGUUUUUGGCUGGUUUUAGGGGUGCUUUUGGGGCUGAUUUUGGGGUGGUUUUGGGGUGUUUUUUGGGGUUGAUUUUGGGGUUUUUUGGGGGUGUUUUUGGAGUUGAUUUUGGGGUUUUUUGAGGUGGUUUUGGGGCGUUUCUGGGGCUGAUUUUGGGGUGGUUUUGGAGUUGAUUUUUGGGGUGGUUUUGGGGCUGAUUUUGGGAUAUUUUUGGGCUGAUUUUGGGGUGUUUUUGGGGUUUUUUGGGGGUAUUUUUGGGGUGUUUUUGGAGUUGAUUUUGAGGUUUUUUGGGGUGGUUUUGGGGCUGAUUUUGGGUUUGUUUUGGUGUGUUUUUGGGGUGUUUUUGGGGAGUUUUUGGGGUGAUUUUGGGGUGUUUUUGGGGUGUUUUUGGCCCCCCAGGGUCCUGUCCGAGGUGGAUUUCGAGGAGCUUUGUACUUUGGAAUAUUUAGGAUAUUUUUGGGAUAUUUUUGGGGUGUUUUUGGCUGAUUUUGGGGUGUUUUUGGGGUUUUUUUGGGGUGUUUUUGGGGUAUUUUUGGGGCUGAUUUUGGGGUGGUUUUGGGGUUGGUUUUCGGAUAUUUUUGGGGUGUUUUUGGGGUGUUUCUGGCCCCCCAGGGUCCUGUCUGAGGUGGAUUUCGAGGAGCUUUGUACUUUGGAAUAUUUAGGAUAUUUUUGGGAUAUUUUUGGGGUGUUUUUGGCUGAUUUUGGGGUGUUUUUGGGGUGUUUUUGGCCCCCCCAGGGUGCUGUCCGAGGUGGAUUUCGAGGAGCGCUUCGCCGAGCUCCCCGAGUUCCGGCCCGAGGAGGUUCUCCCCUCCCCCACCCUGCAGGCCUUGGCCACCUCCCCCCGAACCAUCCUGGGCAGCUACCGCAAGAAACGCAAGAACUCCACAGGUGACCCCGGGGUGACCCCGGCGUGACCCCAGGGUGACCCCUGAGUGACCCCUGAGUGACCCUGAGUGACCCCGGGGU
rnacentral:lncRNA from 1 species